rnacentral:lncRNA from 1 species
CCGCGCUGUCCCCGCAGGAGACGGACCAGCUGGAGGAGGAGAAGGCGGAGCUGGAGUCGGAGAUCGCGGAGCUGCGCAAGGAGAAGGAGCGCCUGGAGUUCGUGCUGGUGGCGCACGCUCCCGCCUGCAAGGUCCCGUUCGAGGACGUGGCCGCCGGCCCGGCCGAGAGGGAGCCACGUGUGGAGCCUCGCACCAGCGGAGCAGCAGCAGCGACCAGUCCUCGGACUCCUUGAAUUCUCCCUCGCUCCUCGCGUUGUGAACGGGCAGCCCCCUCCCCAAUCCCCGAUCCGUCCCGGCCGACCCCUCCUCGAGCCGCGCAUUGAGCCCCCACCCCCCCAAAAAAACCAAAAAACCCCAAAAAUCCAAAAAACAAAACAAAAAAAAAAUUCGGAAAAAUGGGAAAAUUCUGAAAAUUCGGAAAAAAUUUCGGAAAAAAAUUCAGGCGCCUCCUCCCUGCCCCCGCCGCGCCUCGGGGUUGGGCUUUGCCCUCCUCGAUUUAUUAUUUUAUUUUUUUUUUGGGUGUUUUUCCCAGCUCUGAUGUUUUUUUUUGGGGGGAGGUUGGGAGGGGUUUUUGGGGUUUUGGCGCUUGGAGGUGGCGGCCGUGAUGAGGCUGUGCCCGGUCCUUGUCACCCGGUGGGGGCUCAUCCAGGAUCUGUGUCACUGUGGGGAUGUCCCUGCUGUGUCCCCAAUGUCCGGAGAAGGUUCUGGGCCACCUCAGAGGUGUCCCCAACUCAUUUCAAGGGGACCUGUGCCACUCUGGAGAUGUCCCUGCUCUGUCCCCAAUGCCCGAGGAAAGUUCUGGGUCACCCUAGAGGUGUCCCCAGCUCAUUUCAGGGGGACCUCUGUCCUUCUGAGGGUGUCCCUGUCCUGUCCCCACUGCCCCGAGAAGCCU